AUCUAGCUGACGAAUCCCAAAUACGACGAAAUACGUGUCAUGGAU
rnacentral:hammerhead_ribozyme from 1 species